UUGUUGGUAAGGUAAAAGCUUACCAAGGCUUCGAUCAGUAGCUGGUCUGAGAGGACGACCAGCCACACUGGGACUGAGACACGGCCCAGACUCCUACGGGAGGCAGCAGUGGGGAAUUUUGGACAAUGGGGGCAACCCUGAUCCAGCCAUGCCGCGUGAGUGAAGAAGGCCUUCGGGUUGUAAAGCUCUUUCAGCCGGAACGAAACGGUUACGGAUAAUACCCGUGACUACUGACGGUACCGGAAGAAGAAGCACCGGCUAACUACGUGCCAGCAGCCGCGGUAAUACGUAGGGUGCAAGCGUUAAUCGGAAUUACUGGGCGUAAAGCGUGCGCAGGUGGUUUUGUAAGUCAGACGUGAAAGCCCCGGGCUCAACCUGGGAACUGCGUUUGAAACUACAAGACUAGAGUGUGGCAGAGGGGGGUGGAAUUCCGCGUGUAGCAGUGAAAUGCGUAGAGAUGUGGAGGAACACCGAUGGCGAAGGCAGCCCCCUGGGUUAACACUGACACUCAGGCACGAAAGCAUGGGGAGCAAACAGGAUUAGAUACCCUGGUAGUCCAUGCCCUAAACGAUGUCAACUAGUUGUCGGGCCUUUACGGGCUUGGUAACGUAGCUAACGCGUGAAGUUGACCGCCUGGGGAGUACGAUCGCAAGAUUAAAACUCAAAUGAAUUGACGGGGACCCGCACAAGCGGUGGAUUAUGUGGAUUAAUUCGAUGCAACGCGAAAAACCUUACCUACCCUUGACAUGUAUCGAAGCCCGCAGAAAAGCGGGGGUGCCCGAAAGGGAACGAUAACACAGGUGCUGCAUGGCUGUCGUCAGCUCGUGUCGUGAGAUGUUGGGUUAAGUCCCGCAACGAGCGCAACCCUUGUCAUUAAUUGCCAUCAUUUAGUUGGGCACUUUAAUGAGACUGCCGG
rnacentral:rRNA from 1 species